rnacentral:ncRNA from 2 species
UGUUCAUUCGAUACAGAUGGUCCCAAACGCCUAAGGCCGCUGGGAGAAAUAGGGAACACGGUGCGGUGUAGCCAAAAGGCGCCAACCCCGUGACUGCCCCCGCAACUGUGAGCGGAGAGCGCCCCCGAAAGAUCCACUGGGCUGUGCCUGGGAAGGACGGGGAGGGCUGUGACCCGCAAGUCAGGAGACCUGCCAUCGCUAUACGAACUGA